GAUGAACGCUGGCGGCGUGCCUAAUACAUGCAAGUCGAGCGAACAGACGAGGAGCUUGCUCCUCUGACGUUAGCGGCGGACGGGUGAGUAACACGUGGAUAACCUACCUAUAAGACUGGGAUAACUUCGGGAAACCGGAGCUAAUACCGGAUAAUAUAUUGAACAGCAUGGUUCAAUAGUGAAAGACGGUUUUGCUGUCACUUAUAGAUGGAUCCGCGCCGCAUUAGCUAGUUGGUAAGGUAACGGCUUACCAAGGCGACGAUGCGUAGCCGACCUGAGAGGCUGAUCGGCCACACUGGAACUGAGACACGGUCCAGACUCCUACGGGAGGCAGCAGUAGGGAAUCUUCCGCAAUGGGCGAAAGCCUGACGGAGCAACGCCGCGUGAGUGAUGAAGGUCUUCGGAUCGUAAAACUCUGUUAUUAGGGAAGAACAAAUGUGUAAGUAACUAUGCACGUCUUGACGGUACCUAAUCAGAAAGCCACGGCUAACUACGUG
rnacentral:rRNA from 1 species